rnacentral:rRNA from 1 species
ACUCCUACGGGAGGCAGCAGUGGGGAAUAUUGCACAAUGGGCGCAAGCCUGAUGCAGCCAUGCCGCGUGUAUGAAGAAGGCCUUCGGGUUGUAAAGUACUUUCAGCAGUGAGGAAGGCGGAGUCGUUAAUAGCGGCCUCGUUUGACGUUAGCUGCAGAAGAAGCACCGGCUAACUCCGUGCCAGCAGCCGCGGUAAUACGGAGGGUGCGAGCGUUAAUCGGAAUUACUGGGCGUAAAGCGCAUGCAGGCGGCCUGUUAAGUCAGAUGUGAAAGCCCGGGGCUUAACCUCGGAAUUGCAUUUGAAACUGGCAGGCUAGAGUCUUGUAGAGGGGGGUAGAAUUUCAGGUGUAGCGGUGAAAUGCGUAGAGAUCUGAAGGAAUACCAGUGGCGAAGGCGGCCCCCUGGACAAGACUGACGCUCAGAUGCGAAAGCGUGGGGAGCAAACAGGGAUUAGAUA